AUAGGGACCUGUAUGAAUGGCAUAACGAGGGCUUAGCUGUCUCCUUUUUCAAGUCAAUGAAAUUGAUCUCCCCGUGCAGAAGCGGGGAUAAGACCAUAAGACGAGAAGACCCUGUGGAGCUUUAGACACCAAGGCAGACCAUGUUAAGCACCCCAAAACAAAGGAUCAAACUAGAUGAGCCCUGCCCUCAUGUC
rnacentral:rRNA from 1 species